UGAUAUGUCUAACAUGUUACGAGCAUUCGGAUUUAAGAGUAGAAAACAUCAUGAAGAUAUGGAUAUAGGUAGUAAAGGCAUGAAUGUCCCCUUGGGAAGGGUGCAUUUGUUUAUUGGAAUGUAAUGUAGAAAUUCAAGCAAAUAUUAAGGGUUUGGAUGCAUUGAGUGACCUGAAUUGUGAACAUUCAGUCCAAUCAAGAGAAGAUGACACACAUGCACGUGCAUGCAUGGGUUGGCACACAGAUUGUGAUGUUUCCUCAUAUUCAUGACAAGGAAGUAAUCCUCAAAUUGUAGUUAUGAUCCUGUUAGUUCCCUUUAGCAAUUCCAACCCAUUUGAUUGUGCAUCCAAACGCACCCUAGAUCAAAUUAUCAAAAUAAUGCAGGGGCACUUUCACACCGGGCUCGAGUGGGGUGGCAUGUGGGAUGCAGGGGCACACUCGGGGUGGGCAGCCCGUGUGAGGCAAGUGGCUCGUGUGAGGCGGGCCCCAUCCAUGUGAGGCGGGUGGCUCGUGUCAAGUGGAACCCAUGUGAAGUGGGGCUCACAAGGGGGGUUCGGCCAAGGUCCUAGCCCAUGCGUUGUAGGGCUUGAGCUAUGAGAUAAAGGGAUUGAUUCGCCAUGAUCUAUCAGUUCGAGCUUUUAGAGCAAGUGGUUAAUUAUCCUGCAUCAAAGUGGUAUCAGAGCGCGAGGUCCCGUGUUUGAGACUCCUCACCUGGUGUAAUUAAUGCAGGGGCAUUUUCCCACCAGGCUCGAGUAGGGUGGCUCAUGUGGUUAAUUGUCCUACAUCACAAAAUGGAGGUGGGAUGAUUUUAAUUCACACUGACAAUAGAUCAUCUUGCCCAACGAGGUUUUCUGCCAUUACAUGCUAGAGACCUUAUUUUUUUGCAAAUUUCUCUUUCUGGGUAAUGGGAAAUAGUUAAGUUAAAGUGCAAUCUUGGGCAUGAUUUUGUUGGCAUGUGAAUGUUGUUU